rnacentral:lncRNA from 1 species
CCUCUCCUCUCUCGUCCCAUCCAAUUUGCUUCCUUGCCGAUGGGAUCCUCCGCAAGCCAGGCUUCCAUCCCGUCCCGCCAAUCGGUCCCGAGGUGUCGCUCCCUCCGGAGUAGGACGAGAAGCCGAGGCCCAGAAAGUCGACCGACUGGUUGAAUCUUCCCUGCCUCGUUCCCUUCGAGCGGAUACAACGAGAGGCACUCGUUUUGUGUACGUAUCCUCUGCGGUUGCUAUGCAUCUGCAAGAACGCUGGUUAAAUUCUUCGAUUAUUGGUUCUAAAUGUCGAGUAGGACAGGGCAAAGAUGCAUCUUCUGGUGCCGAUCGAAGCCUCUUUCUUGUGUUUGUCUCGCGUGCUCCUUGUAAGUUGCAAAAGGAGCUACAGUCCAAUCUCGUAUAGAAACUUGCAGAAAAGACAAUAGGAAGGUUUGUCGUUUCCAAUGCGUACAUCUCUUCUUGCAAGGGUAGUUCCUAGGCACAUUAACCUUCACCAGACCCAAAACAGGUGGAGCCUCAUUGGCUGGAUCUCCCUUUUCCUUAGUGCAUUAUAGACUUCAAGUGCAUCAAUUUUCUUUUAGGAAAAUAGGAGUUUUUGAUCCACCAGGUGCUCAAGUGACUGAUUUUAAUGCCGUAAAGGAAACGCGAAAACUGAAGUGGUUGAUUUCUGUUAAUUCUAGCUCCAUAUGUAUUCUCACAAUGCUUCCUGCAUUGUCCAUGAAUCCAGAGAGUUCAGUUCAGUCAUUUUAACUCAUCCGCAGGUUGUCUAGUUCAAAUUUGAUGGCUUUGUUGGUUUGACCUUUAUAAUUGUUGACCUGAAACCCUUCUACAGUGUUUUCAUGGUGGUUCCAAUGACGUUAUCAGUGCUUCUCCGGAGGAGCAAUUGAAUAUGGGGUUUAAUUUUAUUCUUUUGAUAGAGGUGAAUAACACAUGGAUUCGAUCGUUUCUCACAGCCUUAAAGCUUAACCACUCUAAUUAUUCUGUUUUCUUAUCCAUAUUCAAUAUCUAAUCAUGAUAAUACGGAAGGGUAUGAUGAUCGGAAUCUUCUGGGCCUUCAAUCAUAAUAACUGAUAAAAUAAUUGCUACAUUCUGAACCCAGUGCUUAGCCUUUGAUUCAUCAAUUCUGAUUUUUUUUCUUUUGAUUGUGCAUUGCAGGUUAAUAAUCGACUGAUGGAUUAAAAACUUGGAUUUGGUAUGACCAUACGAGAGUGAAGCUUCCUAUAUAAUUUCUCCAGAAGAUGGAAUGGAAAUUUAUCUGGCUGCUGGGUUUCGUGGUCGCCUCAGCAUACCAUGUCUGAGACCUCCUCAUUUCAUAGCUGCCAAGCUCAUGCUGAAGGUUAGUUAACAAAGGAAAUUACAUUUAUGUAUUCUUAUGAGUUGGAUUCAAACAAAUACUUGUUUCUCGAUAGCCAUUUGGUACUGUGGUAUUUAAUCACCAGAUUCUUUGUUGAAACAAGAUUUAUAACAGCUUUCAUUGUAGAAAAUUUUCUAGGAAGUUUUUUGUGUCAAUUUGGAUUACUUCUCAAGCAUUCCUUUGCUUCGUUAGUGCAGAAGCAUGUGGAGGUAAUGGGCCUCUAAAAGUUAUAGAAAUCUAUAAUUGCUUAAUAAUAAUGAAAAGUUAUACCAUGAUGGCAUAAUAAAGAAUCACCAAGCAAGUCAGAUGAAAAGAUCAUAUAACUAAUUGUCAUCUUGUAUUUUUGAACAGCAUUGCAUAGUGAAUGAUGCAUUUUUCUUCAAAAAAAAAAUUGUAUCAUUUAACUGAUUUUUGUAUGCUGAAACUUUGACAAGUGAUAACCUUAACAUACCACAGAAUGAAAGACUCGGACAAAGACUUGAUACAACUUUUUAUUGGGUUCUUUUACCAACUUCACUUUUGAUCCGAGGAGAAAAAUGUCAUCUGGGUAAUGUUUCUUAGAUAUCACUCCAAAAGAAUAGCACUAAGCAAUGUUUAAAAGCUUUGACUUGGAAUUCAACUUUUGAACUGCAUUUUGCUUAAUUAGGGGACAAAAUUGACCUUAAAAUAAUCAUCAACAAUUAAGUUAAUAACGGUCAACCAAUAAAACGCGUGACAUCUUUUCAAAGUUUUGUUUAAGUAGGCGAUUAAGUCAGAAGUCAGAACUUCUAUUACCAAAUGGGUUGGACAUGGACACAUUUGGAUUUGCUACUCAUGCAUGUGAGACAUGGCUUUGCUUGAUUGAUUGAUCACAGGACAACGUAAUGAACAAAUUAGGCAGCAGAAACACUACCAGAUCUUCAAGAAUCGACUGAGAAAUCCCUAGAUACCCGGUGUUCAUCAAAUCCAAUAAACAUUCAUCUAUAUCCAGUGUAGUUUAUUCCCCAUCAUGUGCAUCAUCUCUUAACAUGCAUUCACUUUUUUUCCUUGUUAAGAAACGUUGUAGGUAUUCACCUAUAAGACUAUACAUAUAUACCUCUUGAUAAGAACAUAUAAAUGAAGCAUGCUUAUUUUCGCUGCUUAUAAUAUGUUUUUUUAGUUUGAUGAAAAAGUGAACCUUCGACUAUUGCAUAUUCAUAUUAUAAGACUAUAAGACUAUACAUAUUCACCUGUAAGACUGUACAUAUAUACCUCUUGCUAAGAAAGCAUGCUACUUUUUUGCUGCUUAUAAUAUAUAUAUUUUUAGUUUGAUGAAAAAGUGAACGGUUUGACUGUUGCAUAUCUCUAGAAAUUGGAAGCAUGGUUUGCAUCGAUUCACUAUGAUAAUUAUUCUUCCCAAAGCUUGUGUUGCAAAAUCUAAUGCUCCGAUCUUUAAGUUUAGAUGUCAAUGUCUUGAAAUUUCUGUUCCGAUCAGAGUGCUGGCGUUUGUUGGCAUGUGUUCUUAAGAAUCAUUACUAUUCGGAUAUGGUUGAGCUAAUAUUUUAAUGCCUGUUAUUUUCUCUUCUUCUUGGGGAUUUAAAUUAGUAGUAGUUGAUACGGAUGCAACUAAUAUUAUAUUUCUUAUGAAUGCAAAAGGAUAGCUAUCGAAUGGGGGCCGUGACUGGAUCGAGAAAAUAUUUUAUUUGACUUGACGUAUGGCUUUGAGAAAGUGUUGAAUGAGUGGCCCAAAGGGACAAUUAGGUGUCAACGUCUGUGAAGUGUAAGAUCAAGCAUCUGUAUUUAUUAUGAUAGCAUUUUCUCUUAUCAUUGAGUAAAUAUAAGUAGGAAAGUUAGGCAAAAGUUUUUGACGUAGAUUUAAAUGAGGUUGCAAAACAAAAAUCAAAACAGCUUGUUAUCUGUUUUCCAAGAUUAGGUUCUUUGUCAAACUCCGGACAUCCAAACUGUAGGUAGAAUCUAGGAUUUUAGGACAGAGCUAUUGGUCCAAACAUGUGUAUCCUUUUAAUUGUAUAACUAUUUUAGUUAAAGAUGCUCUAGUGCUUUUAAUUUAGCUAAUUAUGUUGAGCACAAUAAUAUGAAAAGAUCCAUAUACUCAGCCACAAAUAUAUGGAACAUUUUGACUACUUGUUAUUGCUGUUGUUUCUUGUGCUUAACAAUGUAUUCAAUAUGAUGCAGCUGAAAUCAACAAAGAGGUACAUGUUUUCACCAAUUAUUCUUUUUUUGCCAUCUUGGAAUUACAAGUAUAAAAUACACAAAAUUAGAGAAAACAAAAUCGUGGAUUCUUCUAAUCCUGUGUGCUUUAUGCAGAUAUGGUGAGCUUUGCUGGUGAUGUGGGUCACACACAGCACAAGCAUCUGGUACUUCCUCAGACCCAGUAAACCCCACGUUUUAAACUUGCAUGGCUGGAAUCAGCCGACAAAAGUGCCAACCUGUCAUCACUCGUGGGUAACAUCAAGCACCAGUUGAAUUUAAUUAUAUUUUUUUAUAAUAAAUUUAUCAUGUAUAUAUUUUUAUAAAAAGAUAAAUCUUAAAGAUAAAAUUCAAACUUAGACUGUGUGAUAAUCUGUUAAAAUCUUUAUGAGAUUUAAUUCUAUGAUAAAUUAUUAUUCUUUGAUGCUUUAACAAAAUUAUUAGAUUGGCUUAAAUCGAGUUGAGUUUAAUUUGGAUUAGCGAAGUAAUUAGUCGGAUAUGGAUAUUAUCAUUCUAUUCUAUCUCAUCAUUUAAAUUAGAUUAUAAUAUUUUUAAAUUUUGUUUUAAAAAAAUAAGAGCGUUAUUUAGUUUUGAUUAUCUGUAUAGCUACUGUCAGAUUCAAAUAGAAUGAAAAAUAUGGGUGUUUUAUUUAUUGACAUUUCUAAAUAUAAUUGGGUCAAUUUACAUAAAAAUAGGAUGAGACUUUGCAGGUUUAUGCCCAUUAUUAUUGAGGUAGACCAAUUUAAAUAAACAUAUAAGUAUAGUGAUUAUUUUUAUUUUAUAUGCAUCGUGUCAACAUGAACUGUCUCGAGGGCCUAUUUGCGAAUUUUAAAGGCCCCGAGAGCCAAAGUUGGACGGCCAAGAUUGCUCCUUGAGGAGGCGCACGGCGGGGAUCUCCGCGCUGCAUAUGCCGAACACAGGUCUCGAAGCCACAAUAAACAUUUUCUUUUUCGCUUUUAUUAUUAUUGUUUUUUUUAUAUUUCCGUGAGAAAAGGUUGGAUUUUUGGCUUUUAAAAAUCCAGGUUUUUUGUGUGGUGAUGCGAUUCCCAAUGGAAGCGAGUGGGCUUAAUUAUUGGGGGGUUUUAUCUCUCAGCCAAUGCUUAAAUUACUUACAUACCCUUCACCCCAUUAUAAUUUCGUCGGAUGAAAUGAUUUGGAAGCAGUAAAUUUGUUAUUUCAGAUGUCCGAGCGG